CACUCCGGCAAUGGGCAAAGAGACACCUUGGUGGUGGUGUUCUUUUAUCAGUCAGGGGCAGGGCAGAUGGCAGUCUCUUGUUCAUCCUAGCUUGACGCCUGACUUGGAGGUCAAAACUGUUUCAUGCCUACAGCACGUGG